CAUUGGAAGAACGGGCCAAGCACCAUCUUAAGUGGCCUGAUUCCAGUAGAAUGGAGGACAUUAAGUCCAAAUUUGAAGAAUUGUUUGGGUUGCAAAAUUGCUGUGGAGCUAUUGAUGCAACGCACAUUAUUAUGACCCUUCCAGCAGUGGAAACCUCCGAUGAUUGGUGUGACCAAGAGAACAAUUACAGCAUGUUCUUGCAGGGAAUUGUUGACCAUGAGAUGAGAUUUCUUAAUAUCGUUACAGGUUGGCCUGGGGGCAUGACAGUGUCUAGAU
rnacentral:misc_RNA from 1 species